ACCCAGCUGGCUCAGUUGGUAGAGCAUGCAACUCUUGAUCUCUGGGCUGUGAGUUCAAGCCCCACAUUGGGUU
rnacentral:tRNA from 1 species